UGAUUUUAGUUAUUCUGACAAGUGUGAAGUGAUAUCUCAUUUUACUUUUGAUUUAUUUUUCCCUGAUGAUGAGUGAUGCUGUGCAUCUUUUCAUAGUUCUGUUGGUCUGUAUGUCUUCUUUGGAAAAAUGUCUAUUCGUGUCUUCUGCCCAUUUUU